UACGUAGGCAGCGAGCGUUGUUCGGAAUUACUGGGCGUAAAGCGCGCGCAGGCGGUCCGCGAGGUGUCACGUGAAAGCCCCGGGCUCAACUCGGGAGGGUCGUGGCAAACCGGCGGACUUGAGGCCGGUAGAGGUGGGUGGAACUCCUGGUGGAGUGGUGAAAUGCGUAGAGAUCAGGAAGAACACCCGUGGCGAAGGCGGCCCACUGGGCCGGAACUGACGCUGAGGCGCGAAGGCGUGGGGAGCGAACGGG
rnacentral:rRNA from 1 species